rnacentral:rRNA from 1 species
UACGUAGGGGGCAAGCGUUGUCCGGAAUCACUGGGCGUAAAGCGUGCGUAGGCGGUCGCGUGUGUCUGGGGUGAAAGUCCAGGGCUCAACUCUGGGAUUGCCUUGGAAACUGCGCGACUUGAGUACUGGAGAGGCAAGGGGAAUUCCGCGUGUAGCGGUGGAAUGCGUAGAUAUGCGGGGAAUACCAGUGGCGAAGGCGCCUUGCUGGACAGUGACUGACGCUGAGGCACGAAAGCGUGGGGAGCAAACAGG